UCAGAUCUUCUUCUAACGCCGCACUGCCUCAGCUGACUCGCUGUUGCUGUCGCUGCUGCCCCAACUGGCGACGCGUCGCUGCCGGCGUCGAUGUCGACUCUAAAUAUUUGAAAAUAAAUAACAAUGAAAUAGCAGGAAAGUUUUAAAAUGGCAAAGGAUGACAAUACGCCAAUAAGUAUGCUAUAUUUUUUCAGUGAAUAAAAGCAAACAUCCAUUUUUAUUUUUAAUUUCUAAUAUAAUGGUUUUAAUAAAUUUUUUCUUAAAUAUUUUUUAAAAAUACUCAUUUUUAACAUGAUAUAAAAUUCUCCAACAAACCUUAGCCACAGACUUUUGACCGUCAGUAUGGGCUCUGUCAAGCUGUUACGGUUACCUGCUUCUCUUGAUUUCCGUUCUAGUGACAUUACUCUCCGAUCCGAUCCCCACCACGCCCCCCAAACUCCUUUCAGUUUCUUCCUCCGCCCGCACACUGCCACAAAUUGUUUACAUGCGACAAACUUGUCAUCUUUUUUUCGUGUACAUCUUGGAAGAUAACAAAAAACUAAAGAAAAAAAAUCAUAAAGGUUAGCGACUCUGUCUUUGGCCUGUGGCUUUCCUGUUGUUGGGCUAGGCCACGGGCUCAGGUAACAUAAAACCCAAAACAAGCAAAAACAAAAAAAAAAUUUUAGAACACCUGGAAGUGGUUGAAAAUAUUUUUAAAUAAAUGGUUAAAUUUUAAUACUUUGUGCUCCACUGUCCAAGUGUCAGAGUUUGCAUACACUUCGUGUACAUCUCCCAGACACUUGUUCGUAUCUGGGCGGCUAAUCAUUUUCAAAUACCAUAAAAGCUGAUUUCACAGGGCCAAGAGAGAAGCGGUAGCUGCUACCAAAAGCUUAGAGCCAAGUCAAGAGUGAUCAAAAAAUCUUGGCAAUAUGUCGUGCUAAUCUUGUGCUGCUGGUUUCUAAGAGAUAACUUUAUUCUGAAAGACCCCUCUGUCCUAUAUUUGAUCUUGGGAGUUGGUUUGUCUUUGAUGGGCUUAAAAUUUUUAAAUUUAAUAAUUAGAAGUUAAUUUUUUUAAGAAUCAAAAUAAAAUAAUAUUAAGCUUGUUGGCAUCCCACUGUUUAUUUUAAUGCUUAUUCAUAUAUUAUGAUAUAUUUAUAUUUUGUUUGCUUGUUUAUAUUCACGUAGCCCACAUCCUCCUUAGGAUUUUUAAUAUUUACUAAAUAUAUCUUGUUGUCAGGUGGUUGGUUCCUGUUUGUCUAAAUUUUUUAGAUUUUUGUAAACAAUUACUAAGCUUGUCAUGCCAAAAAACUUUAAUUUGAAACUCCAAACUUUUAUAGCUUCCCUCUUCGAAUAAAAUCCCUUAAUUUUUUACAAGAUCAUAUCGUUUUGUAGGGCAGCUCUAUGAAAUAUAUGGCUUAAGAUCUUUGCUCGAAUAUGGGCUAAUCGUUGUCUUAUUAUUGUAAUAUCUACUUUCCAAGAUGAUGCUUCAGCUGUUUGGCGCUUUUUUUGUUUGUUUAUAAACCUCAAAGUUUUAUUUUUUUCCAGCAUCUCGAAGAUUUCGGCAGCAUUUUGUGAUUGUUCCUUAAUUGUUGAGGGCGGGGAAGAUGUUUUGGUUUAUGGUUUAUGAUACCAGUGGGCUGGGAUGGAAAGAAAGGCCCCUCGUACCAGUGGGGCAGUGGGGCGAGUUGUCAGUCUAAAGUUCACAAGUUGUCAAAAUGUUUGCGCUUAAGUCUCAGACAUGGAGCAUUUAGUGGCCCGGACUUAUCAGACUGUGUUAACACAUUUUACCAACUUUGACGUGCAGUUGGAGAUGUAUUUUUUUCAGCUUUUGACGGGUCUGAUUCAACAAAUAAACAAAAUGCGAAAACCACACUGCGGAAAACAAAGUAGAGGGCCUAAUUUAGAUUUCUUUAAGUUCGAAUUAUAUGGUACUAAGCUGCUAUAGGUUUUUUUACAGUGCCUAUGUCUACUAAAAGAAAAUAGACACUG